rnacentral:lncRNA from 1 species
GAAGACAGAUCCAAAAAUCUUGCUAUGAUUUACAUCAAAGAGUGUUCUGCCUACAUUUUCUUCUAGUAGUUUUACGGUUUCUAUUUUUACACUUAGGUCUUUAAUUCAUUUUGAGUUUAUUUUUGUAUAUGGUGUUAGAAAAUGUUCUAAUUUCAUUCUUUCACAUGUAGCUGCCCAGUUUUCCCAGCACCACAUAUUGAAGAGACUGUCUUUUCUCCACUGUAUAUUCUUGCCUCCUUUGUCAUAGAUUACUUGACCAUAAGUGCAGGGGUUUAUUUCUGGGCUCUCUACUCUGUUCCACUGAUCUGUGUUGUCUGUCUUUGUGCAAGUACAAUACUUUUUUGAUGACUGUAGCUUUGUAGUAUAAUCUGAAGCCAGGGAGCAUCAUUCCUCAACAGAGGAAUGGAUAAAGAAUAUACAGUAUACACAUACAAAGAAGUAUUACUCAGCCAUAAAAAAGAAUGAAGUGUUCCCAUUUGUGACAACAUAGAUGGACUUGGAAGGUAUUAUGCUAAGUGAAAUAAGUCAAACAGAAAAAGCACAAAUACCAUAUGAUCUCACUUAUACAUGGAAUCUAAAAAUUACAAAAAACUAGUGACUAUAACAAAAUAGAAACAGACUCACAAAUAUCGAGAACAAACUAGUGGUCAGCAGUGGGGAGAAGGAGAGGGGGAGGGGUAGUAUAGGGGAAAUGGAUUAACAGGUACAAAGUAUUAUGUAAUAAGCUACAAGGAUGUAUUGUACAACACAGGGAAUAUAGCCAAUAUUUUUAUAAUAACUAUAAAUGGAGUAUAAACUUUAAAAAUUGCAAAUCACUAUAUGGUAUUUUUUUUCUUUAAUAAAAGAAAAAAUUUGAAAGCCAAUCUUUUUAUUAUUCAAUAUCUUGAGACCCCCAAGACCAAUAUCUGAUUAAAUGAGGCAAUAAAAAUAAAGUCCUUAAUAGAGUGUUCAACACAUAUAAAGCUUAAUAGAUGGCAGUUAUAUUUUUAAUAGCAUUUAAACACUCCAAGUUGUGUUGUGGGAAAUAAUCCUCCUAAUUACUGCCUAUUUCAUAUUAUUCCUAUUCUCAUUUUAUUAAAAGGGAAACUAGGACCUGAAAUGUGUCACAAAAUGUUAAUACAUUCAGAUUUUUCUCUCCAUCCAAUUAUUUACUCAUUCAACUAAAACAUGCUGAGCACUUAUUAUGACCCCAGCCCUCCUAGAGCUUAUGCCCUAGAACAGGAAUGAGCAAAAUGCUCCUAGAGAGGGCCACAUAGUAAAUAUUUUAGCCUUUGCAGGCCACAAAAUCUCAGCUGCAACUACUCAACUGUACAUAGAAGCCCUCAUAGACAAUGUAUAAAUUAGUGUGAGGGGUGAGUUCCAAUAAAACUUUAUUUAUAAAAACAAGCUAUAGGCCACAGUUGACCAAGUGGCCUUAGUUUGCCAGCUCCUAAUCGAAUAGUUUGGUUUUACUUUCUAAAAGCCUUCUUUAUUUAUUGGAAUUGAUUCCAAAUUGGACCUGAGGAGGCAAAGCCAAAGUAAGGUAGUUCUUCCCAGGCCAACUGCCUGAGCCAUGCAGACUUUUCUAGAUCACUGUCACUCCAAGAGUACAGAGAACCCAAAACAGGUCAUGAAGGCAGGCAGAAACUUCACCUGCCAGAGUCAUAACAAACCUUGAGUUCCCAAUGCCCUCACCUCAGAAAUGAAGAGACCAAGGCCCAAAGAGAAGAAGUGCUACUGCAUGAUCACUAGGAAACAGAAACAACUAGAGUUAGAAAUGAGCCUCCAAGAGUUCCCAUCGUGGCUCAGUGGUUAACGAAUCCCAUUAGGAACCAUGAGGUUGCGGGUUCGAUCCCUGGCCUCGCUCAGUGGAUUAAGGAUCCGGCGUUGCCGUGAGCUGUGGUGUAGGUCGCAGACACAGCUUGGAUCCUGCAUUGCUAUGGCUCUGGUGUAGGCCAGUGACUACAGCUUAGAUUAGACGCCUAGCCUGGGAACCACCAUAUGCUGCGAGAGUGGCCCUAGAAAAGGCAAAAAGACAAAAAAAGAAAAAAAAAAGAAAUGAGCCUCCAAUCCCAAAGCCCCUCCAACUAAACCUCAGUGUUCUUUCUGGAUGGAAAAAUGACGGAGGCCGGAGGGCUACCCCUGCAAAGUCUACGAAAAGUGGCUGCUCAUGGAAGCCUGUGGGAUUUUGGGGAAAAAAGGACCUGACCACAUGGGGUUUCUUGACAACUGACUCUCCGAGGAGAUGCAAAAUCUUGAUUCAAAAAGUGACCUUGAGCAAUGAGAUCCUGCUGUGUAGCACUGGGACCUAUGUCCAGUCACUUAUGAUGGAACAUGAUAAUGUGUGAAAAUAGAAUGUGUACCUGUAUGUGUAACUGGGUCACCUUGCUGUACAGCAGAAAAAAAAAAAAGUAUUGGGGAAAGAACUAUGAUUAAAAAUAAUAAUAAUAAUAAAAGAGAGUGAGUUGACAGUAUAGGACAAUAAAGAAUGUACCUGGACAAAAAAAAAAAUAAAAAGUAACCUUGGAGUUCCCAUUAUGGCACAGUGGAAACGAAUACGACUAGUAUCCAUGAGGAUACAGGUUCGAUCCCUGGCUUCGCUCAGUGGAUUAAGGAUCUGGUGUUACUGUGGCUGCAGCUCUGAUUUGACCCCUCGCCUGGGUAUUUCCAUAUGCCACAGGUGUGCCCUAAAAAGAAAAGGAAAAAAAAAAACACUAACCAUGAACUUUGGUCCAUUGAGGGGGUUUCCAGCCCCAGGCAGCUCAAUCCUGGCCACUCCUCACCCGGGCUUUUCAGGCGCUGCCCCAUGGGAAGGCAUGUCCAUCCCUCUCCACACUCAACCCGUUUUCAAAGAAAAGGUGCUCAAGUCACACGUUUAUAAUCCAAUGCGCAUGAACAUAUCUUCCUGCCACUCUCCCUAAACUACAUUCACCCAAGUUUAAACAAAUUGUAUAUGAACCUCAAUCCCCCAGUUCUGUAGAGUCAGUUGGUUCUGCAGCCUUUCGGCUCUCCUGGCUUCCCUCAGAAUCAGUUUCCAGGCACAUUUGGGAGUCUGACAACCCAGUGGAGCCAAGAAGAAACCAGACAGUACAUAUGAGUUCUGAAGUCCUGGCUUUUCUUUAGCAAACAUAUUUCUCUAUCAUUUACAGUUAAUUUUUCUACAGGGAAGUUAUUUACUUCCUAGAAGAGUGAGUUUAGAUUUUCCAGGCUAGACUAUCGAGCCUUUCGUAGUCCAGCAUUUCUUCCCCAAAGAGCCAGCACAGGUCUCCCCAAAGGUGUCCUCCAGCUAAACGAACCACCACUCUCCCCCCCAGGGCCACCACCUGCUUCGCGCCUCCAUGUCUUUGCACAGGCUGACCUGGCCUGUCCUCUUCUCCUCUCGUUCCUGGCAAUCACCUGCAACAUCCAGCUUCAAUUCCAUCUUUUCUAUGAUGUCCUCAAGGACAUUCACGGGUUCUUCUCCAAAACUACAACCUAUAUACCAUUCAUUGUGCUACAUGACAUUAUUUAGAUUCUAUGUGUGUGACCCCACCCCACCUUUGAGUUCUUUAAAGACCAGAACUGUGUCUUUUCAUCUCCAGAACUCGGCACUGGUUCCACACACAUAAUCUAAGUAAAGAAAUGUCUGGGAGUUCCCAUCAUGGCACAGUGGUUAACGAAUCCGACUAGGAACCAUGAGGUUGCGGGUUCGAUCUCUGGCCUUGCUCAGUGGGUUAAGGAUCCGGUAUUGCCAUGAGAUGCGGUGUAGGUUGCAGGCGUGGCUCGGAUACCAAGUGGUUCUGGUGUGGGCUGGUGGCUACAGCUCUGAUUAGACCCCUAGCCUGGGAACUCCAUGUGCCAUGGGAGUGGCNACGUGUAUAAGGGAAUCAGUGUGGUGUAAGGCAGAAAUUAUCACAAUGUUACACAUCAACUACGCCUCAAUAAAACUAUUUAAACAAUGAAAAAAAAAUAGACACAAAGCAUACUUUCUACGUCGUCUGUGUGAUUUUCUAACGCACCAAAGAGAUUCAAAGCCAGACCACUGCGAAGGCACCAAGAAAAAGGAGAAUAGAAAAUGUUCCCCAAACAUCUCCUGACUUCUCAGACCACUUCCCACGAAGCAACAUUCUUCCUCCCAAUCGACCCAAAGGCUCUGUGACCAAAUCCACUCACCUGCUAAUGAUUUCCCAGCACAUCUAUAAAACGAACAUAUGCACUGAAUUCUCAAAAUGGGCUUCUCUCUUCUUAAUUGAAUACAUUUUUCCUGAAUAAAUGUUGAAUGUUUUUCCUCCUCCUACACAAACACCUGGCUUUAAACUGCGCCGGACCUGGGCAAGGUGCCUGCAUUCAGUCUGUUGGUAGCCUUGGAAUCCCAAGUUUGGGGACUGAAAGCGCUGAUGAGUUUUCUUUGUUUUCUGAAAUUUCCCCUCAAAAGAUGAGUUAACCAGAAUUGAACUCUGUGGACCUUCUGGGUCAGCAUCUCACGGCACCUUCUUUCACUGUCCCGUAUGCCUUGCUUUAAGAAAAUCCAAAGUCCAAAAAGCUAAAUGUCCAAGCUAUUCUUGCCUUUGGGAAGGUAUAACCAGGUAAUUUUAGUUUUCCAAGAUUUUCUGACACAGAUACUCUCCGGAUUCCACACCCACCACCUAAAGUGAAGGAUACUCGGGCGACGUUCUUUAGUGAAAAGGAGAAAAAUGCAUUGGAUGAAAUUUGGCCUUCCCCUGGCCCUGCUGCCCAGAAGCCAGACUGGAAGUCGACUCAGGUUUUCUGAAAUGCCUGCCCUAGACACAGAGGAGGGCAGUGCCUCAAUUCAGGACUUCUUUGGAACUCUCCACUGGCCACAGAAAAACAAGUACAAGGCCUACGUGACACAUGAGAUGCUAAUUCAAACACAAUAUGGAAGCAGAUCGGCUAUUUGAAAUCCACAGUUCUGCAGUCUCUUUUGCUCUGAAACAGAAAUUUCAGCUCUAGGUACCUCCUACUGCCCUUCCUGGAAGAUCUUCUGUCUUGUUUUCCCCUUGGCUCCCAGGACAUGUAGGUUCUCUCUGCGGCUUUCAUCACUCUGUGGUCAUCAGUCUGCCUCUCCCGCUCUCUCUGUUGGCAGAGAACGUGUCUCUGAGUUCGCAGAACCCAGUCUGGCUUGAUCCAUGAACGUGCUUAGUAAGUAUCUACUGAAUGUUUCUGACUGCCCUGACACUACCUUUCCCAGCUCCCCUGCAGACUCCGGGAGUGCCAAAACUUACCUGGGAUUAGCUGUGGCCCCAAGAAGACUUUCAAGACACUGAACACAGCAGGUGGCCUUCAUCUCAAUAUCCCUUUGUAGUCAGUGCCAGGUGGCCGUGGAUCAAGCUGUAUGACAAGGUGACCCCAUCUAGCCCCAGGGUCCCUACUGAUAAUUAUCUGUAUUCUUUUGAAGACAUCUUAUCUUCCUAGAAUCUGGUUCAUCUGGGAUAAGAAUGCUAUCACUUCCUGGCAGUACUCAAAUUAGGUGGCUUAUAUUCUUCUCUCUUUUCCUUUUUUGGCUACACCCUCAGCAUGUGGAAAUUCCCUGACUGGACUGAGGAUCGAAUCCAAGCCACAGCUGCAACCUAUGCCAUGCCAUAGCUGCGGCAAUGCUGGAUCCUUAACCCAUGGCACCAAAGCAGGAACACCUCUUAUAGUCUUCUUUUAAUUAAAAAAAAGUGUUAAGUCCUGUAGUUCUAAACAAUAUAAGUCAAAACUAAUUUUCCCAUAUGGGACUGAGAGGCACCAUAGAUAGGUUCACUCAUUCCUCCCCUUUCCUACCCCUCUUUUUGGCCUCCUUCAAUUAUAAUGCCUAGAAGAUGAAACUCAGGGAGUUCCCAUCAUGAUGCAGAGGAAACGAAUCCAACUAGGAACCAUGAGGUUGUGGGUUCGAUCCCUGGCCUCACUCAGUGGGUUAAGGAUCUGGCAUUGCUGUGGCUGUGGUGUAGGCCGGCAGCUGUAGCUCCGAUUAGACCCCUAGCCUGGGAACCUCCAUAUGCUGCAGGGGCGGCCCUAAAAAGACAAAAA